GAUGAACGCUAGCGGCAGGCUUAAUACAUGCAAGUCGAGGGGCAGCAGGACGGUAGCAAUACCGUUGCUGGCGACCGGCAAACGGGUGCGGAACACGUACGCAACCUACCCAUAACUGGGGGAUAGCCCGGGGAAACCCGGAUUAAUACCUCGUAACCUUAUGAAGUGGCAUCGCUUUAUAAGUAUAGCUCCGGCGGUUAUGGAUGGGCGUGCGCCUGAUUAGGUAGUUGGCGGGUAACGGCCCACCAAGCCUGCGAUCAGUAACUGGUGUGAGAGCAUGACCAGUCACACGGGCACUGAGACACGGGCCCGACCCCUACGGGAGGCAGCAGUAAGGAAUAUUGGUCAAUGGACGCAAGUCUGAACCAGCCAUGCCGCGUGAAGGAUGAAGGUCCUCUGGAUUGUAAACUUCUUUUAUAGGGGAAGAAAUCUGAAUAUUCCUAUUCAGUUGACGGUACCCUAGGAAUAAGCACCGGCUAACUCCGUGCCAGCCGCCGCCGUAA
rnacentral:rRNA from 1 species